GUCCACGCAGUAAACGAUGAUAGCUCGUUGUCGGCGAUACACAGUCGGUGACUUAGAGAAAUCGAUAAGCUAUCCACCUGGGGAGUACGUUCGCAAGAAUGAAACUCAAAGGAAUUGACGGGGGCCCGCACAAGCGGAGGAACAUGUGGUUUAAUUCGAUGAUACGCGAGGAACCUUACCCGGGGCUUGAAAGUUAGUGACGGAUCAGGAAACUGGUCUUCCCUUCGGGGCACGAAACUAGGUGCUGCAUGGUUGUCGU
rnacentral:rRNA from 1 species